rnacentral:misc_RNA from 1 species
AAUUCGCCUCUUGUGGCACGGCUAUCGGCUGCCCAGGCCAUAUCGCAGAUGCGUUAAUUCACCACGCGGGAGGGGGGUUCCUUUGUCUCAUUCCCCCUCGGCGUGUUCGACUGGGUGGUCAUCGCCUGUGAGACACCGUCGAAGCUUUCUUUAUUUUGAACUUUCGGGGCCAGCGAGAAACGUUAAAAGUGCCUCGAAUCUCGCAAUGGUCGCUUCCCUGUGCACACUGUCCUUUUUUUUUUCGCUCUCUACUCACUUCCACACAUGCCCUUUUCCUGGCACUGUCCACGCCUGAAUGUCUCCCGGCAUGGUGCUGUGUGCACAGGCCGCGAGGUUCCUCUUUUCUAUUGGCAGCUGCUUGUUUUACCUUCCCUCUAACACAGAGAGCUGCUCGCCGUCGCCCUCGCGCAAGAGUGGUGGUGGCGUCGAAGGGCCUUUGCCCGAGGCUCACUGUAUCUUCAUUCCUUCGUUCUUCAAGCGAGACGAACCACAGGCGCCGAAUCAGCUCCUCGUGCGAUGCUCCUCGCCCCCCCCCCGCCGCCUUCCGGUGGCAGGUCUACUUCUCUUUUCAGCUCGUCGUUGAGUGCGUACAGGCGCGCGUCGUGUGCUACCCCGGUAUCUUCUCUCUACUAUUUUUUUUUUUGAGAGGCGCGUACGCCCUUGUCUUGCGGCUGUGGACGCUGUCGUCUCUCUCACUCUAUCCUUCUCUAUCACGGAGACAUGCAUGCACUCGGAAGCAAAGGCAAGGAUCGAUGCAUGUCUCAUGCAUGGUGACGUCGAGGGCUUCAAGCCAAGUGUGGGGGCCAGCAGAUGCGCACUCGAACGCUUGCCCUCCUUGCCGCCUCAUGAGGUGCGAUUGCGUUUUGCGCUUGCCUUGCGUACUGAGCACCUCGAUUUCUCUGAGCCCCGAGAUGCAAGGCCAGCGCAAAGAAGAGGUCCAUUGCGAUCACUGCGCGUCCUGCCUUUCUUUCUGCCAUCGCCGUCCGUGAUAGCGGGCGACUGCCACUUCGGUCCUUCGGCCUCUUCGCUAUCCCUCUUUCUCUUCUUCCAUCUCUUUCUUUCUUUGCUCUGGCUGCUUGCACCCGCCCAUGCGCGUGAAG